CCUUUUUUUGGGGUUAAACCAAUUUAAAAAUUAAAUUAAAUUACCAUUCAAAUCCAAUUUAAUAAACGUUUCUCAAAAUUUAAUCCAUAUAAAUAAAUUUAUUGUAACCCAUCUCCUCUUCCUUAUCCACUGCAUCUUGAUCUGAUUCACUUCUUAAUAAAGAACCUUGACUAUUAAAAACCUUUUAAAAUAAUCUAACACGACGAUAUACAAGUUAAUAAAAAAAGGUUAUUUUUAUUGUGGACAUCAUUUAAGGGACAGGUUCCUCUGAAAAGACUAAAUACGCAAAUCUUUGUUUCAGAAAUUACUAAUAAUAACUAGGGGUCAUUUUACAUUAAAAUAAU
rnacentral:rRNA from 1 species